UACGGGGGGGGGUAAGCGUUGUUCGGAAUUACUGGGCGUAAAGGGCGCGUAGGCGGCCUGCUAAGUCGAACGUGAAAUCCCUGGGCUCAACCCCAGGAACUGCGUCCGAUACUGGUUGGCUUGAAUCCGGGAGAGGGAUGCGGAAUUCCAGGUGUAGCGGUGAAAUGCGUAGAUAUCUGGAGGAACACCGGUGGCGAAGGCGGCAUCCUGGACCAACACUGACACUGAGGAGCGAAAGCCAGGGGAGCAAACGGG
rnacentral:rRNA from 1 species